rnacentral:rRNA from 1 species
GGGCCAAUAGACAUGCAGUCGAACGGACUUAACUCAUUCUUUUAGAUUGAGAGCGGUUAGUGGCGGACUGGUGAGUAACACGUAAGCAACCUGCCUAUCAGAGGGGAAUAACAGUGAGAAAUCAUUGCUAAUACCGCAUAUGCUCACAGUAUCACAUGAUACAGUGGGGAAAGGAGUAAUCCGCUGAUAGAUGGGCUUGCGUCUGAUUAGUUAGUUGGUGGGGUAACGGCCUACCAAGACUACGAUCAGUAGCCGGACUGAGAGGUUGAACGGCCACAUUGGGACUGAGAUACGGCCCAGACUCCUACGGGAGGCAGCAGUCGGGAAUAUUGCGCAAUGGAGGAAACUCUGACGCAGUGACGCCGCGUAUAGGAAGAAGGUUUUCGGAUUGUAAACUAUUGUCAUUAGGGAAGAUAAAAGACUGUACCUAAGGAGGAAGCCCCGGCUAACUAUGUGCCAGCAGCCGCGGUAAUACAUAGGGGGCAAGCGUUAUCCGGAAUUAUUGGGUGUAAAGGGUGCGUAGACGGAAGAACAAGUUGGUUGUGAAAUCCCUCGGCUCAACUGAGGAACUGCAACCAAAACUAUUCUCCUUGAGUGUCGGAGAGGAAAGUGGAAUUCCUAGUGUAGCGGUGAAAUGCGUAGAUAUUANGAGGAACACCAGUGGCGAAGGCGACUUUCUGGACGAUAACUGACGUUGAGGCACGAAAGUGUGGGGAGCAAACAGGAUUAGAUACCCUGGUAGUCCACACU